UACAUAACAUUAACAUACACACACGUACACAAUAUAAAUUACAUAACAAACUACACAAUUUCAUACCAAAAACCACAAAGUUUCUACGUUUGGGACAACCAAAUUGAAUCAAACUCAAACCGACCUGAACUCAAACUCAAGAAGAUCUAAACUUGAAACAACCAGAACAUAAAAUGACUAAAUUCAGAGACAGAUCCAAUCCAAAAUAAUUGGAAAAUUUUACAACCCGAACCAACCCAACCCAAAUUUAUUAUGAAUGUAGGCAUCAAAAUUCUUCCUCACUAAAUGAUAAGCAAAUGUCACUUGAAACCCAUGUUGCCUAGCAUAAUUGAGCUCCGCUG
rnacentral:lncRNA from 1 species